CCUGCCUCACACUGGGGGACAACAGUUGGAAACGACUGCUAAUACCGCAUAAGCGCACAGCAUCGCAUGAUGCAGUGUGAAAAACUCCGGUGGUGUGAGAUGGACCCGCGUCUGAUUAGAUAGUUGGUGAGAUAACAGCCCACCAAGGCGAGGAUGCGUAGCCGAUCUGAGAGGAUGAACGGCCACACUGGAACUGAGACACGGUCCAGACUCCUACGGGAGGCAGCAGUAGGGAGUUUUCGGCAAUGGGGGGAACCCUGACCGAGCAACGCCGCGUGAGUGAUGAAGGUCUUCGGAUUGUAAAGCUCUGUUAUAAGGGAAGAAUGAUAGCUAGAGGAAAUGCUAGUUGUUUGACGGUACCUUAUUAGAAAGCCACGGCUAACUACGUGCCAGCAGCCGCGGUAAUACGUAGGUGGCAAGCGUUAUCCGGAAUUAUUGGGCGUAAAGAGUGAGUAGGCGGCAGGAUAAGUUUGAAGUGAAAGCGUGGGGCUCAACCCCAUACAGCUCCAAAAACUGUUCAGCUAGAGUGCGAGAGAGGUAAAUGGAAUUCCAUGUGUAGCGGUGAAAUGCGUAAAUAUAUGGAGGAACACCAGUGGCGAAGGCGAUUUACUAGCUCGAUACUGACGCUCAGUCACGAAAGCGUGGGGGGCAAAUAGGAUUAAAUACCCUAGUAUUCCACGCUGUAAACGAUGACCACUA
rnacentral:rRNA from 1 species